GUGCUGCGGAGUGAAGAGACAUUGCAUCCUGAAGAAGAAAGAGAAGAAAGUCUGAAGAGUGGUCCCCUUUCAGAGUUUUAUUCGUGAGGCUAAAUCAACAUGUGUUACAUUUCAACAUACACCAAGAAAGCCUGAUAUCAGAGACGGUAAAUCCAUGACCGAAACUUGAAAACACGUUCCCAGGUUCUCAGCACAGCGAUUUGAGCCACACCCACUGCCGGAAAGACAUUUAGACCAUUAGAACUCCAUCUAAAUCCCGUUUGAAGUUGACGACCUACAUAUGAGAACCAGAUCCCCUUCAACCCUUCCAUCUGAUUAUUGAGGAAGUUUACGCUACAGAUUACCAGCAAAGACAGGGACUCAGGUCAGUUUUGGGAGAACUGAGAACUGAGACAGGAGAACCUAGUCUAGCUCCAACUGAAGCCCCUCCCUCGAGGUAGAAAAGAGAUUCAUUCAUUGUUUUCGCCCAUUAGCUCUGAGCUAUGCUUGAGCUCUUCCACCUAAUGCCUUUCUGGGUCCAUCAGUGCUUAUGGGUGUGUGGCCUUCAAUACAGCAUCUAAAUGCAUUGGAUCUGCACUUUAUGUAUAAAAACAUGCACUUUGGAUCCCCUGGAGGUUUAUUUCGUCCUGGUUCCUGCAUAUCCUAGUCUCUGGUCUCUACAAAGUACUGAGCUUGCAGCUUUGAGCAACUGACAGUUUGUCUGAUGUGAAGAAUGUAGACCAUAUGAGCCUGGGGCCUUGGGAACCAGCUCCUGGUUGCCACCCAGAAGACUGUCCUGAUAAGAAGGCCUGUGACAGGUUCAGGUUCCAACCUUCACAGCCAACCUUACCACCUGCAGUUUUCUCUCAGACCUUUACUUUCUGAUCAAUUGUAGAGCUGUCCCUUGCUAUGAUAAAGUAGAGCAUCUUCUUGGGCUUGUUUUGAUCUCCCUUGCUGUGCUGAUGGCUUCUGGCACAACACCUUCUACAGAGGUGCAAAUUAGCAAAUGAAUGACUGGAUAAUUAUCAAACAAAACAGUGACAUUCCUAGAAUCUGUCACUGAAUCAAGGACCACAGGAACAGAAAUCCUCUUAUGGUUUUACUUUGUUAAAUGUCCUUUAGAACACUGUCCUAACCAAUUACAUUAGAAACAACCUCCAAACUCAAUGUCUUCAAAUACCAAGCCAUUGCCUCUCUUGGUUCUGUGGACGCACUAAGCUCAGCUCUCUCUCUCUCUCUCUCUCUCUCUCUCUCUCUCUCUCUCUCUGUGUGUGUGUGUGUGUGUGUGUGUGUGUGUGUGUUUUACCUGAGAUCUGUCAUGCAGUUUUAGAACAGAGAAGCCAGGGUUGGAGUCAUUGGAAGGCUCGACUGGGCGGAUAUCCAAGAUACAUUGAGGACAGCUGAUGUCAGCGGCUGGAUUACCCACACUUGUCAACUGGACAGGACCAGUUUAUAACACUUGGCCUGUCCACGUGGCUUGGGUUUUUCACAGAAUUGCUUCUGGGUGCCCAAAUCUGUCAUCUGUCAGUGAGCAUUCUGAGAGAGCUGAUAACGAACAGCAGGUUUCCUAUUAUCUAGCCUUGGGGGCCAUAGCAUAUGGCUACAAGCAAACAUAUGAUCUUGGGGACUUGGUAGAGUGCCUGCCUAGCAAGUAGGAUGGCCCGGAAUUGAAAAACAAACAACAAGCAAACAAACAACAACAAAACUUCAAACGCGUUAUCCCUGAAGGACAACCUAUCUCUGCAAGAGCCUUCCUUUAUCACGUGAUCCAUCCACUAUACUGCUGAGCACUGGCGACAAUCACUAUCAACCGGAUCUAGC
rnacentral:lncRNA from 1 species